UUCAGCAAAUAUGAAAUAAAGUGCCGUUAUGAGCGUGACCAAAACAAACGAAAUUACAUUUGCAACUGUUGACUAAACAAAAUGAGAAUAGUUAUUUUUAAUUUCACAUUAUGGAGGUGAUGCUCGCACUGUUGGUACUACAAUUUCCUUUUACAACUUGUCCACCACUCCAAAGUAUACGACCUUUGAUCAGGUUAGAAGCAUAUAAGUCAGCACUUGAGAAAGGGCUUUGUAGAGAUGGUAGAUGCUUAAAGCUGAAUAAGGUUCUGCAAGGUGAGGACACAACGACCAGCACGGCACCACCUACCGUCGGCACCAGAAGACUCACAACGACUCCAAUGAACGUCUCCAUAGAUAUGGAACGAUGCGCUGAUGUCGCUAAGUGUAAUGUUAAUAUAUGAUGCAACAACACUCCCUCUGUCGAAGACCGCUCUGUCCUCGUGCUGUUUGAACUACAAAUACUGUUAAUGCUGUUAAAGCCAGAAUUCGUCGAAACUCUUAUUAGGAAGCAAGAUUCCCGCUAGACCUUUGUCGCGUAUUAUAAACCAAGACCUGACGCUCGGUGCUUAUCGUGGAUCAAUCUUGACAAUUAAAGAGAGUGGAUCGAUCGAAACUCCUUCUAUUGAGAUACGCAGGUGAAAAGCACACAAAUAUCUUGUAUACAUAUGAAACAAUUUCCACGAUUGAAGAACACCACAAUAAGCAAAAUAAUAAAGUGUACGCUGAUAGUUCUAGAGAAGCUGCUCAAGUGAUCGAAAAGUUACAAAGUGGUCUUUAUCCUGCCUCAGUGAUGUUUUGGUGGGGCGUGUCUUAUCAAAGUGUCACAAAACUACAUUUUUGUGAAAAAAGAGUCAAAACUGCAACCGAGAUACAGCUUCAUCUUCUAGAUACAUUCUUGGAUCAUGUUUUGAAACCUCUCAGAAAUACACUUUUUUAAAAUAUACCGUGGACUGCAGGACCUGCUUGCAACCAGCGUUCCGGACUUUAUAUGAACUGAAGACCACCACCCAUUAGACUUCAAAUUAUGGUCAGUUUCCGAGGACAAGUCCUGGAGACUGUAUAAAAGCCAAUAGUGGACUAAGCCGGAGAGAUUUUAAGAAAUAUACUGAAACGACGAAGGUCUCCGACUGAAGUACGCCACAGCUAACUCGUGGUCCUGACUGGUUCGAGCCUAAGGCUCGUUGAGGCUUGAAGCUGCUGGAAGGUGGAAUCCACGACCUUAAUGUGCCUUUAAUCGCAAGCAGGACAUAAACACGAAUUUCUUGCAUCAUUUACAUUACGUUUCAAAUGCUUCACAGUAAUAUAAAAUGUCUUAAAAGAAAAUUUGUUUGAAAAGCCUAGCAUUAAUAAAUAAAAUGUCACCAUAUUUUAUAAUUUAACUAGGCAAAGAGCUGAUUUUUACGUGUUUACGAUAUAUUUCAUUUAAUAUGUAUAUAAAACA